AGUAGUGUGGCGUGCGCGGUGCUGCGUGGUCGUCGGGACGGAGUUGUGAGUAUUUUCGGUGUUUUAAAUGGUUGAUGGCCAUUUGAACCAGCUUUAUAUUAUUUCCUACAAAUUUUUGCAUCAAAUUAUUGCUUUGAAAGACCAUUGAAACCCCUUAUCUCUUCAUGAAACACGAUCAUAUUCAUCGUCGACGAAAAUGGCGCGGGACUCCAUGUGCAUUCCGAUCGAAAUAAAUCGUAAAUUAAAUAAUAUUCGAUGAUAAGUAUCAUAUUCUAGUGACACAUUUUCAUAAAAUAAGGCAUAAACUUUGCAAGGAAGUCAACAUUGGAUAAUUGGAUUCUUAUUUAGCUCACAUAUCCUUGUAGUAGUCAAAUGGCUCAAUUGAUAGAUUAAUGUAAGUAUAUGUUUUGGCUUGAUGUUUGCUGUGAAACCACCCAGCCACUUGCUGGUUGAAUGGUUUUCUGAUAAUUACCUGAUAAUCAUUUCUCCUUUUCCUUAAAGGAAAAGUGCCACCUUCUUGAAAUAUGAAAAUAUCGUUGGUUUUUAUUUUGACAUUACUAUUUUCCAUUUUCUUUUCAAAACCGGUGCCAGAAGUGCAUAAUUCGCUAAAAAGUAUUUCAAACUAUUUAACAUAUUGGUACUAUGUUUAUACUCUCUACCGCAGCUACUGUAUGAUGUCAUAGCAAUGACGUCACACUCAAGCCAAUCAGCCUUGAGGAGGAUAGACUCGUCGGACUGUAGCGGUUGUAAACAACUUGUCGCCCCGUGUGUCUGCCCGUGGCGCUAGUUAUCUGUCGGAGUUACCACUGACAAUGCCCAAAACAAGAACAACAAAGGCCCAAAGGUGGCUGUUUGGUAGUGCGCAAAGCUGCUGGUGGUGGUGGACGUCUCUGCCCUGACGCGCGGCGUGCGUCUGCUCAGUGUGGAGGUGCCGCUGACAGCGGUGCCGGCCGGACCGGCUGCCUCUCCGGCGGCCGACAUUGAGCGCGGCACGUGUCCGCCGCCGUUCGGGCCGCUGCAGCUGCUGCAGUCGGCGGCGCAGCUGUCCGUCUCCGUGUCGCUGGCCGUGCCGCUGGACCUGCUGCCGCGGCCGGCGCCGGCGCGCUGCGCCUACGGCCGCCUGCUGGCCGUGAGCCGUCGUCUCGCAGCGCGGCCUGCAGCGCAGCGGCGUGCCGCAGCUCAUCCAGCAGCUCAACGAGCCGCCCAGCCCGGCGGCGGCCGAGGGCGCCGCGCCGCGCCGGCCCGGCGACGUCAGCACACCUGGCAUCAGCGGCUUCUGCCUGGCCGACCGUCAGCUGCACCUGCUGUUCGCCGAGGGGCGCGCCGACGCCGAGCUGGAACAGACGGCGGCCGCGCCGCGCGCUCUGCCGCGCCGCGACGCUCGACUCUGCCACCACUCGGGCUUGCUGUUUAGGGAGCGCCUGUACCCGCGCCAGCCGGCCGUGUUCCGCGUGCUCGAGGACCGCCCGCUACGCGCCCAGCUGCUCGACACCCGCCUCUACACGUUACAGAAACAGGAGCCGGCGCGCGCCGUCCGCGCCAUCAGAGAGUGCUUCCGCACGCAGUGGCUGUCGGAAAAUGAACCUGCUUCCCAACGAGGCCGGCCUGCAACAACUGCUGGCCGGCUGUUGGCC